rnacentral:rRNA from 1 species
AGAGUUUGAUUAUGGCUCAGGAUGAACGCUAGCUACAGGCUUAACACAUGCAAGUCGAGGGGCAGCAUGAAGUUUGCUUGCAAACUUUGAUGGCGACCGGCGCACGGGUGAGUAACGCGUAUCCAACCUUCCCUAUACUAGAGGAUAGCCCGGCGAAAGUCGGAUUAAUACUCUAUGUUCUUCGUAGAAGACAUCUGAAAUGAAGCAAAGGUUUACCGGUAUAGGAUGGGGAUGCGUCUGAUUAGGUUGUUGGCGGGGUAACGGCCCACCAAGCCUACGAUCAGUAGGGUUCUGAGAGGAAGGUCCCCCACAUUGGAACUGAGACACGGUCCAAACUCCUACGGGAGGCAGCAGUGAGGAAUAUUGGUCAAUGGACGAGAGUCUGAACCAGCCAAGUAGCGUGCAGGAUGACGGCCCUAUGGGUUGUAAACUGCUUUUAUACAGGGAUAAAGUGACGUACGUGUACGUUUUUGUAGGUACUGUAUGAAUAAGGACCGGCUAAUUCCGUGCCAGCCGCUGC